rnacentral:sRNA from 1 species
CAUUUUUUUUCAUUCCCCAGACUUCCCCAGAGAAAAUUUUGUGAUAUUAAGAAAAACUUGUUAGAGUAGAAAAUAUUAUGAAUAACGAAUCUAUCCUAUCAUAUCACGAAUCGAAAUUUUAUGUGAACAUGAACAAUUUUUGCAGGUCUGUGACUGUUUAAUUGAUAAGAAGUGUCGUUAGUCGAAAGCAAGUUCAACUGAGUGUGCAAUCCAAUGCGUUAUCACUUUGAAAUGCGCAAGUGGACUGCAGGAAGCACGAUUGGGUUCCACAAGAAAUGCUCCCACCCGACUGAUAAGACUUAAAUGAAACACUCAGUUUUAUUUUUUCCACCGACAGAGACUCAUAGAAUUUAAGCACCUUGAAUUGAAGCUUGAGAAAAGAAAUUUCCAGAAAUUGAAACUACAGAAAACAAACAAAAUUAUAAGUGAGUAUUUAGUUAUACUUAUGUAAAAUACAGGGACCGUAAUCUCUAUGAGUUUUAUUUUAAAAAUCCCAAAAUAAGUAUUAUUAAUAAUUAUUUUUUCCCACAGUUUCCGGGGUGUUAGGUGUACCAUCGCCGGCAUUUCAUAUCAAUCAGUUAUAUGUCAGCUAUAGAAUAUAGUCGACCGAUCCCCGCCGUUCCGACUUAUAUACUGCCUGCAAA